rnacentral:ncRNA from 2 species
GUAGCUGGUUCCCUCCGAA